rnacentral:rRNA from 1 species
UGGGGAAUCUUGCACAAUGGGCGAAAGCCUGAUGCAGCAACGCCGCGUGGGGGAUGAAGCUUCUCGGAGUGUAAACCCCUUUCGACCCGGACGAAUGCCCGCAAGGGUUUGACGGUACGGGUAUAAGAAGCCCCGGCUAACUACGUGCCAGCAGCCGCGGUAAGACGUAGGGGGCCAGCGUUGCUCGGAAUUACUGGGCGUAAAGGGUCCGUAGGCGGUGCGGUAAGUUGGGAGUGAAAUCUCUGGGCUUAACUCAGAGGCUGCUUCCAAAACUACCGUGCUAGAGUGCGAGAGAGGCAAGUGGAAUUGCGGGUGUAGCGGUGAAAUGCGUAGAUAUCCGCAGGAACAUCCGAGGCGAAAGCGGCUUGCUGGAUCGCAACUGACGCUGAGGGACGAAAGCUAGGGGAGCAAACAGGAUUAGAUACCCCCGUAGUCC